rnacentral:rRNA from 1 species
AUGAAGCUCAAAGGAAUUGACGGGGACCCGCACAAGCGGUGGAGCAUGUGGUUUAAUUCGAAGCAACGCGAAGAACCUUACCAAGUCUUGACAUCCCGGUGACGCAGGAGUAACAUUCUGUUCCUUACGGGGCACCGGAGACAGGUGGUGCAUGGUUGUCGUCAGCUCGUGUCGUGAGAUGUUGGGUUAAGUCCCGCAACGAGCGCAACCCUUAUCAUCAGUAGCAAACAGAGAAAGCUGUGCACUCUGAUGAGACUGCCAGGGAUAACCUGGAGGAAGGUGGGGAUGACGUCAAAUCGUCAUGCCCCUUAUGAUUUGGGCUACACACGUGCUACAAUGGCGUAAACAAAGGGAAGCGAAGGAGUGAUCCGGAGCAAAUCUCAGAAAUAACGUCUCAGUUCGGAUUGUAGUCUGCAACUCGACUACAUGAAGCUGGAAUCGCUAGUAAUCGCGGAUCAGAAUGCCGCGGUGAAUACGUUCCCGGGUCUUGUACACACCGCCCGUCACACCAUGGGAGUCGGGAAUGCCC